rnacentral:misc_RNA from 1 species
GAUGAAGAACGUAGUGAAAUGCGAUAAGUAAUGUGAAUUGCAGAAUUCAGUGAAUCAUCGAAUCUUUGAACGCAUCUUGCGCUCCUUGGUAUUCUGAGGAGCAUGCCUGUUUGAGUGUCAUUAAAUUCUCAACUACACUGACUUUGAAUUGGUGUGGCUUGGAUUUGGGGGGAAAAUUGUUGUGGGCUUUUUGUAUAGUCUGCUCCCCUGAAAUUGAUUAGCGGUACCUUUAUGGAACUGUCUACAGGUGUGAUAAUUAUCUACAUCUUAGACAUCUGCUGGAAUGCUGCUUUCUAAACCUUACUUGUAUUGACAAUCUUGACCUCAAAUCAGGUAGGACUACCCGCUGAACUUAAGCAUAUCAAUAAGCGGAGGA